GGGAGAGUGAUUUCUAGCACUGUAAGUUCUUGCCACUCCCUUAUAUUUCCCUUCAUUUCUUUGUUGAGAAAAUGAUCGAAUCCGAAAGAAAUAAAGAGGAAAGAAAAGGAAACAAAGCUUAAUUAGCCUCAAAUUCUGUUUUAUUAGCAGCUGCGCAGUAGGUGAAUUUAUUUGGUUUUUUUAGAUUAAAGGGUUUCAGUGGUUUGAGCUGUGCUAAUCGUUUGCUUGAACCUUUUUUUGGGUAUCAUGCUUUUAAAUUUACUGUGACGUUAAUGGAAUUUGUAGCUGGAUUUGUUUCAUUUUCAUCCUUCUUGUGUAAAUUAAUUGAUAAUUACUGACGGGCGAUCACUAGCUUAAGAACCAAGUAGAAGAUUGAUACAUUGAUAAAUGUUCUUGUGGAUUAAAAUGAGUUUGUGAUUGAUCUGCCUACGUUUAUGUUUUAUACUUGUUAUGUUCAGAAAUAAUUGAUGUUAGUUUUUACUGAUUUCAGGACUUUUCAGGUG
rnacentral:misc_RNA from 1 species